rnacentral:rRNA from 1 species
CUGCCUACGGGGCGCAGCAGUGGGGGAUAUUGCACAAUGGGGGGAACCCUGAUGCAGCGACGCCGCGUGGGUGAAGAAGCGCCUCGGCGCGUAAAGCCCUGUCAGCAGGGAAGAAAAUGACGGUACCUGAAGAAGAAGCCCCGGCUAACUACGUGCCAGCAGCCGCGGUAAUACGUAGGGGGCAAGCGUUAUCCGGAAUUACUGGGUGUAAAGGGAGCGUAGACGGCAAUGCAAGUCCGGAGUGGAAUGCGGCAGCUCAACUGCCGAACUGCUCUGGAAACUGUAUGGCUUGAGUGCAGGGGGGG